rnacentral:misc_RNA from 1 species
AACUAGCAUGACAGACAGACUCGUCGCUACUUCGCUUCAGACACUAUUCAAGGCUCAAAACGUAUACAUGCAUACACGCACGUACGCACCGCCGACAGCAUCCACGUUGGGCACGCCAUCCGGGCACCUUUAUGCCCUUUUCUGUCGUCGUUCCUUACGUUUGUUUUGGUUUUCUCUAGACCUACUUAGAAGCACACCUACACGCGUACACAUCGACUUCCUCGGCGCGCCAUCCUCAGACCUCACCCGCCACCCGCCCACAGACAGGCGCGCACAUACACCUUUGCGCCGGGGCCUCGGUGUCUGCUGUUUGCCGCCAUCACACCUCCUCAUCCCCCCUCCCGCCCGAUCUCUAGCGGUGUACUUUCCUUUGCGCUCGACGCAUCGCCGUCAUUGACACACACGCAGACAGAAAAGCACAUCUGCGGCGCCUUCUUCGGCCCUUUCCUCUCUCUCUCUCUUUGCGCUGAUUUUGCCUUUCGGGGGGAAGGGGUGGGCACUUGUCUCGGCUCGCGUUCAUUGCACGGGAGGCUGCCUCGUGCGCCCCGCAUGAAAACCCCCUUCGUCGCCACUGCGUCCCCCGCCCCUCCACCCCUCCCCCCAACUAAGCAACCACUGCAGAUAGAAUGAUCUUUAUCGAACCGGAUGUGGACUACUUCCGGCUGCACCUGCGGGACGUGCACGUGCCAGUACCAGUUCUCGAGCAAGGCCCAGACGCCAUCGCGGCUGCAACGACCGCAGCGCCAACGUCGGCGCGCGCUACGGUGGUGCCUCAGUGCAAGGAACCAAAUGAUGGCGACCACGACGCGCCUCUGCCACACAAAGGCUUGAAGGUGGGGACAGCGACGGAAACGGCAGGUUUCAGACGCUCCGGCUCUGCCAUGCCCUCGGUCUCGUCCUCUACUGAUCCUUCGAAGGUGUUGGCAGCCGAGCAAGAGCACUUGCACCGGUGCGAGAGCGGCAAUGAUGACUACCGCGGCCUCGUUGAGGAUGAGGCGGCCUCGUGCGCCAAGAUAACCCUCGAGGAGCGCGCCGACGUUGUGCAUCGAGCACUGUUGAGCGCGCUGCACGCCCGCUUCCCCUACGAGGCCGUCGACACGCUCGAGUACGCCUACAUUCUCGUUGUCACGCACCACGUUGCCCCGUCGCUUGCCACUCAGGCCUUCAACGAGGGCGAAUUGGGCAGCCUCACCUCCCUCAGCGGCCUCCUGCCUGAGGAGCUGCGCGAUCGCACUUUUCCAUCCCACCUCAACGCCGUCCUCGAUCCGGCGUCAGCCUUCGCAGCCGAAACGACCUCCACCAAGCCGGUGUCGCCAGAGACAGCGACUGGAGUGGCAGCCGACUCCGCCGCCGCGUCAUCCGCCAUUCGACCGUCCAUCCGCGUCACGGACGACGAUGCAGCCGCUCGCGCGGCACGGGAAAAAGAGAGCGCCGCUCGGGCCAUCGCGCAGGUGCUGCACAACGUUCCCACGGCACCUCACUUCUUCGACUCGAUCUUUCUGCUCUCCCGUGCCCUGACCCCAGAGCAGCAGGCGCUAUAUUGCGAUGUGCAACGCUGCGGCCGCCGCCUCGUCAGCUGUGAAGCUGUGCACCACGCCACAGUGACCGCUGCGAAGGCGCACCGGGGCGGCGGCACCAACACGCAGAUGGAGUCCUUUUCUGUCAUCCAGGGCCGCUUCGUCCACUGCGUGCCAGCGGACGGCGGUGGCGGCGGCAGCGUGGAGACAAAAGCCGCGAGCGCCGCCACUUCGAACAGCUGCUUUUGCAGCGUGGCAGGUGAAAGCCGAAGCUACAGAGUGCCGUUCUCGGUUCCCAAUGGCGAUGGGCCUGCACAAGCAGCAUCGCCGGCAACGACGUUGGCGGCGGCUCGCUCGCUCUACUUCUCCGUCUACCGUAUUCCUCUUAGCCGCUUUCGCCCUGCCGAGCAGCAGUACUACGCGGACCAACGCGAGGAGCUGAGGUGGCGUCAGCGGCACCGCUGCCGGUCGAGCUACCGCAAGUUGCAGCGAAAAGGGCAGCCUGUCGAGCAGGUGUCCGGUGCUGUAAUGCCGUCGUGCGGUUCGUGGUGUCACCCUCUGGAAGAGAGCGGCAGUGUCGAUGCUGCUCGCGACUCAUGCAGUUGCAGUUGCGGCAGCGAGAGCGAGGACGAUGAAGAGGACUGGGAGGGAGAGGUACGUCGUUCAACGGGGAAGGCAGUUUCUUCGCUAUCCAGCGCCAAGUCAUGGCGUACCCGCGACACGGCCGAUGCGAUCGACAGGCUGCUCGGCAGCGAAGGUCACGGUGAUGGCGACGCGGCGGAGCAGACGUCAACGGCGGAGCAGCGCAGCGCAGCUCGCUUCUUUCGAACCUGCCACGAGGUGCUCACAAACUACGCCAUUGCGCACUCGCCGUAUGCGGCGAGGGGAGCAGUGGAAAAAGAAGAAACGGCAGCGAGGACGAAGGCGACAGCACACGGGGCGCCCUCCCCGUCGUCGCCCGCCGUCACAGCAGCCGUGCCUUCUUCUGCACAUCAGCGGCAGCAGCACCCGCGAAUGCCGUGGUUCCCACGUCGAUUUGCUGGUGUCUCUUACGUUGGUGUCACCCGUCUCCUCUACUCGCUGGCCCCGUGCGACUGCUACCACUUGGUGAUGAAGGACCACAGUCCUUUCUAUUACGCCCACUCGAGUCGCUCUUCUUACGAGCGGCAGACGGUGCCGCUCUGCCUCGUCUCGGACCUCUUCUCUGAGACUGGUGGCGACGGAGGCGGCGCGCUGCAGCUGGCACAACUGAAAUCAAAGCCGUUGUCACGCGCGACGGCUGCCUCGGCUGCACCGGCGACAGCCCUCGCUUCCGUUGCGGAAGCGAGGCGCCGUAGAUUUGGUGAGCAGAAGGUUCAGGUGGCGCCGCCGCGCGCACGGUCGCCUGAGCCGGGCGUGACAGAGCAGGUGUUGCUGCCAGGUUGCACGGCCCCAGGGCCCAGGACCGACACGCUGGCCGUUGCCGAUGGCGCUGGCGGCGCGGCAGCUGGCAGUGGCCGGGAGGGCCUGAUGUGUACUCCGUUUCCGUCUCCUGCGCCCUCUUCAGAGCGUGCCGAGCGACCGUCCUACGAGGCCAGGGUAGCGGCAGCCGCGACAAGGAACUCCGCAUCGAAUCCCCCGCCCUCGUCAGCGUCGCCGCAAUCGCGCGGCAGCCUCGUCUCGGCCACGGACGGGUUCCUCCGUAUGUCGGUGUCUCUCAUCCGCAACAACAUCUCCGGGAGCCCACGAGCGAGGCAGCAAAGCCUCACGGAGAAGGGGGUGCACGUCCCCAGCUUUCUCUUGCCUGAUGAUGUGCGCACCAGGGGUGGCACUGACGCGGGCCCGAGUUGUCGAAAUCCGCGUGACGCCGCUUCGGCAGACGGCGGCGCCGCUGCAGCCGCUGUGAAUCUCUUCAAGGCACUUUCGCAGUCGUCGCUCGCGCAGCACAAGCUGCGGUACGGCUGCAUACGCUCCGUCAUCUCUGUCGCCGUGUUGGACAGCUCGCAGAGGAUGCCAAACGACAGCCCCGCCGUCUGCAGCAGCGGCGGUGCGAACUCCGACGGGGCGCGACGGUACGGCACCCUUGAGGCGGCGCAGAUGCAGCUAAGCCAACGCUACUGCUGUCGCGGCCUCGUCGACCACACGUGGCUCUCCAUCCCCGUGCAGCGCACGCCGGCGGAGCAGGAUGCGAUUCAGUGGAUGCCGGUGAUGCUCGGUUCCACAGACUGCGUGAGCGACGUCGGGUUGCGGACAGCCGUGCAUCUCGGCAUUUUCCCGCGUGCGUCGCCGCCGUCGCGCGGUGCGAGUGGCGGCCCUGCCGGUCUCACGGCUGUAUGUUUGUCCACGCCAUCAGACCAGCUUGACGGAGUUCUGCCGACCCGUGCAGGUGCGCUGUCGUCGCUGCAGCCGUUUGAAUUCAGGGGGGAGAACCCUACUGCGGCACUGAGGCAGGCGGGGAGCAGUGGUGCCGCCGCUGCCGCCGACAACGCCCUCGCCGGCGCCAGGCUUUCAAACGACAAGAAGGGCAUGAGCAAAGUGAUGCCUCCAGUGGCACCACUUCGGGCGCGCCCCGUCAACGGCGCCGACGACGGUGUCACUGCUGACAUCGGUGUGAGAGCGGCUCCACGGACGAUUCAGGAGAACGGUCCAUGGACGCAGGGCGGAGCAGAGCACGGCAGAGAAGCAGCCUCUUCACCCACUACUACGAUCGCCCAGGCGCGGUCGUCCACGUUCAGCGCGGUGGGCCGAUUGGAGCAAGCCCGCACGCCGCUGACCUCCUUCGCCACCCUUCAUACGAAAGGCGGUGUGCCACUCGCUUUCGACUUCACUGGCGGCCGCCAGUCUCACGCGGUGCCGCGGCGCGGCACCACACCGCGGGACCGCCUAUCUUUUACGACGACGACAAAGGCCAAGAAGGGCGAGAUGGGCAGCGAACAUGCCCACGUGGACAUCGAUGAUGAAGAGGAGCAAGUGCGUGCCCCUACCCCUUCUUCGACGGCCACAUCGGUGCGGAUCGAGCGUGGUGGUAUCGCGCUUACCUUUGACGCUGGGCCGGCGCAGCAACGAAAAACGCCGUCAUCCUCUGCGACCGGUGGCGCACCAACGACAUGCCGACGGCGCACCGAUCCGGCUACUAUGAGCGCUCGCUACCCUGCGGAGUUUCCGCGCGAUUGCAGCAGGUAUGAGGACGGUGUGAUGAAAGGCAAAGACGACAACGAAGAGUCCGUCGAGGUGGCUUCGGACUUCUCUGAUGACAACGGCGAUGAUCCUGAGCGCCGCCUGUUGCCGUCCUGCGCGCGUACACCCGAAAGAACGCCGCGGGCGUUGGCGCGGACGCCACCGCGAGGGAACCAAGUGGCACGAGAGUUGGCGGCAGCCGAGGACGCGGACAGCGAACGCCGUCGUGGCGGCGGCAGCUCCAAGAUUAGCGAGCGAGUCAGCGGCGCCAUCACAGCGGCUCCAAAAAGCUAUUGCGCCGGAACUCGGGGUUCACCACAGGCGGCAACGAAGACAAUCAACUGGGCCGACAAGUUGCUUCCAAACGCGAAGGCAACGAGGGCCGGCAGCCGCAACUGCGGAAGCCUCCGCUUUCCAUCCGUCUUGCACACGGAAGUGGAGGACAAGGAGCAGCUCGAUGCGAACCGCAGCGUACGCGGGCGUGGCGCGGCGCUGAUGCCGACAACGUAUGGGGCGGCGGCGGAGCGCCGUGCCGGGGUGUUCGGCAUCAGCGGCAGUAACAACAUCAGAAGGAGCAGCGGCCCUCUACCAGCCAGCCUCCCGGCUCCCCGCUCCAACCCCUUUCUUAUGCAGACUCACAAGACGCCAACCGCGAACAGCAACCAGCCGUAUGACAUAGAUGCGGGCACAUCACCGCGUCCCUCGCCGCUAUCACGUUGCUUCGCGGGAUACACUCCAUUUCAACCUGCCAGCGGACUGCCCCAACACGUACCGCAACACCAACAGCAGACACCAAUCCCGGCCAGUCGCCCCACAAGCGUCAGUGCAACGCCAACGCAGUGCUUCUCUGUUCCCUUCACACCGUUUGGUCAAGGUGCGGGGUCGCGCUACCAAACAACUGCACCGACGCUGCAGCAGCAAUUGCUGCCGCACACGAACCAGCACGGCGCACGUGCAACCGGCUUCGCCGCCGUCGCCGCACCGCACUCACACGUCCCGCCGUCGACUGUGGAGCUCUCCGCCUCAGGCGUGUCGCUUAGCAGCAGCAGCAGCAGCGGUUCGGGAAGCAUGUGCCUGUCAUUCCGGCAGAACCCGUCAGCGUCGCCGCCGCCGCCGCCGCAAGAGUGCUUCUUCGAUGACCUCGUUGCCCUACGUACAACGUGCGAAACGCGGGAACCCCGUCGUGGCACUGCGUUCACCGCGAGCACCGCUACACCGACGGCCACUAGCGACGGCGGCACCGCUCCGCACGGUGCGCAGAGUGCGGCCAGCCCACCAGCCUACUUUGCCAUGGCGUGGAACGCGCGGAAGACGGCACCGCAACAACACGGCCUCUCAGGCGGCAUCGCGGAGCACCCCUCGUCCUCCGCCUCGCUAUCUCCUCUGCCACGACACACAACACACGAGCAAGCGCAAGCGCCGCAGUCGCGUCCCUGCAUCUCCUUCUACCCCCCGUUCGCCGCGGCGCGGAGCGCGCCGUCGCUGUCGGCGCAGCUGUUGAGCCCAAGCGCCUACUACACGCCUCCAGCGCGGCAAACCAUCGGCGCUGGUCGCCUCUCGUUGUUCUCGUCUCCUCUGGCACCACGGCGUGGCAGUGUUGGUGGUGGCCCAGCCACCCUGGCAGUCGAUGCGUGUGGUCUAAGUCGCAGUCUCUUCAUCGACGAGUACGACGACGGGGCUGCCACAGCCGGCUCAGCGUCACACCUCCGCGGCGACGGUCGGGCGGCAAGCCGUGUGCGGCCGCGUGGCGUCUCGGCGAUGGAUGCCGCGUGGUGGCAGCCAAUCCGCGAGCUGACCUCCGCUCCGAACCUCCGCCACGGAGCUGCAGCGCCAGCAGCGGGUCAUUCGCGGUCGAGCACGAGCGCGCUGCGCUUGUCUGUCGCCGACCAGCCCUACAACCUUCCGCUGGGUUCCACCUCGAACCCUCACAACCACCACGGCAGCCGUUGUGGCGAUUGCGGUGGAUGUCGCAAAGGCUGCGCCACCGCAGCCGGCGAUCCCGCCUUGCAGCAACGAAGUCGACACUCCUACUACCACGAGGAAGCCUCAUCGCUAGGCCGUGGAACGGCUACCGCGCCUGUGCACCCCGGCAGGGCCGCCGUGCCGCCGCUGCCGUCAUCACGUCUCGGUGGCCUCCAAAUCGACGCGAGGAACGCCGAAAAUCAAAACGUGGACGACGCCUACGUUGAGGAGCUUUCACUCUCGCCCGUGACGCCGCACCGCACGCAGAUGCGGACGCCGUUCGCGGUGCGUCGUGCCCGUCGCGCAGCUGCCACCACAGGCCACAGUUUUAGACUGUCGUCCCGUCGUCGCCCUCCUCUUGCUCCGCGCAGUGUCGGUAGCGAUGCCGCCCGCGGCUCCUCGUGUGACUGUGCGGAAGCGAAUGCGCCGGACAAGUUCCGCUCCCACUACGGUGCCGCGACUCCAUCGUCCACAGCGGCGUGGCGCGAUGGCUUGUCGGUCCGUGAGCGAGUCCAGCUGCGCCGGUGGCAGUUGGACAAGGAGGAGCGACUGGCCAGCUAUCAGGCGCACCUGCAGGCGAACUACCUCUGCGGGUCGAUGCCGAAGCGCUACUGCUUUGAAAGACAGACAGGCGGCGCCGCAGCCGACGCGAGGCCAGCUCCCCUGGGCGGUGGCGUAGCGCGAGAGAGUGGCGUGACCGGGAGCGGCGAGCAGCCGCAGUCCGCCGCUGGCGGCCACGCAGUGUGGACACCGAGGACGACCGCUGUGCCGCCCGUGGGGCACGAAACAGCAGCAGUGUUGCAGGUGGGGAAAAGUGCGCGGGACUUCAGCCUUGGUGUGCACUCCUCCGCGCCCGUGUCGACGGCGACGUCAGCGCCACGCGACGCAAGCUCGCUCCUCCUAAGACCGCCAACGGCGUCUGCUUCGACCGCGUCAGGGGCCGGUGGGCCAGAUGUCGAUGCAGCGCGGGUCUGCCAAGCCGAGGCACAUCGUCGUCAGCAGGCAAGCAAGCAGUCCCAAAUAGAAGCUCGGCAGCAGAUGGAGGCGCUCGCCGAUGGUGCUGCUGCCGCACGACUUGCGACAGGGGUCAACGUCAGCUUUACGCUGCGCGACGUGGCCACUGUCUUCCUUCGACUGCCGAGCACCUCACUGCAUGCGUCGCGGACGCCCGGGACGGAGCCGUGGCAUGUCAGCGGCGGUGCUGGGCUCGACGUGCUGGACGUUUGCGACGCAGUCAGGCGCACCGAGGGUGUGUCGUGCUUUCUCUCCCGAAAGCCCACGCAGCUGCGGGGUGGGUGGGCAAGCUAUCUGGAACGCAUCAACCUCUACCAAGAGCCCUUCUUCCUGCGUGAUCAGGCUUUUGUGCUCGUCUUACCCGUCCCGCACGUGCCAACGCUGAAAGUGUGCGUCGCGAUCCACAACAUCAAUGACCUGUUGGCGCUUGUGUGCCAGACGCCGGUGGCGCGCAUUUUGCCGACAGCUGAGGAGACGUGGAUGCGGCAGCACGAGUACGGAUUCGAAGACGCGAACGACGAUGCAGAAGGACGACAGGAUGGUGCCGUGAUGGUUGUCGCGGAGCGGCGGUGGCUCUUUGGGCUUUUCACAACUCGACGGCUCGUCCCUGCCGCUGGCACACAUGCGUCGCGCAAAGCCCACCAACAACUGCCGUCACCGGAGGACAAUGACGUGGCACGCCGAGAAAAGUGCCGCCGGCUGCGUCGCGAGUAUCAGGUGGAUGGGCUAUGCCUCACGUGGCGCCAUCGAGCUCGACUGUGGUACGCGCUGCUGCGGGCAGGAUUGAGCUGCCUCGCACUUCCGGCAUGCACGUCGCCACUCUUGAUCGACCCCGUGGCGUGCAAAGCAAGGUGCGCGCUGUUGUGUGACCGCAUCGCCGCCUACGCGGUGGCGCAUCGCCGGCUUGAAGCACUCAAGGCUGUACGGCAGUCGCGCCUCGUGGCGCGCGCCGCGGAAGUGUCGAAGGAACGGGUGUUGAAGUUUUGUGAUCGCGCACAUCCCGGGACGGCACGCGGAAUUCAACUUGGUAGGACGGGUGACAGCAGCAGCCGUGUGGCGGCGAGCCGCUCGCGGUGCACUCCGUCGCCGCUGCUUCUGUCUGUGCCCACGCGACAGCAGCGGCGAGUUUCAGGUGUCGGCGAUGAUGGGGUCGAUAGCACGGUGUGCCAAGGCCGCUAUCCCGUAACGUGGGGCAGGGCUUGUGAUUCAACUCUGAGGACGGACCUUCACAACCGCUUCAGCAGCACUGACGAGGCUGCCCGAGACCCACAAGUGGCGCGCGGCGGAGUCGCCUCCACCCUUGAAACACCGUCGACCGUGUGGGGCAGGCCGCUAUUCGCCGCUUCGACUUCAGCAGCGCCUCUCCACAGCGGGCACUUCGAGACCAGCAGGCAGAGGUUCGAAGAUCGCUGUGACGAGCGGCAGCAGCGGGCAGGAACACCGAUACCGCCUCGACUCUCCGCCAUGGGGGGCAUCUCACACACUUAUCCCUCUCUGCGACAGCGCUCCUCUUCAGGCGAUAGGUGGGCAACGCCGCGCACGACGCGCUCGAUGCAGCUGCGACUCGCCGCUAACCAACGUGUGGCCGCCGGUGACGCGCCGGUAUCCUCCCUGCGCCAUGCCACGCACGCAUCAGUGCUGGGAGAAGGUCGCCUGACAUCCAACGAUGGCGAGCGAUUUAGCGACGCGUUCGGUCUGCACUCGCGCCGUAGCUUCACGCCCCCUCCUCGCCCGCCUCCUAAUCGUCCACCCCCACCACAGCAGCAGCAGCUGCAGCCUCGAUGGGACGGUGACUUCGGCGGUGGCGCCACGUCGACGUGGACCGCCAACAGUCGCGAUGGGGCGGUCGACGUUGCGUGGCGGCAUGCACACACAUGCGGCGACGCCGUGGCGACCAGCUGCAGACGCGGAAGCACCCUUGCUAGGACGGUGGCGGGAGCACCUGGAAUCGCCUCCGUCAACGUCCCCUACGACGUUGAGGCGGGAAGCCACCCGUACGCUAGCGACGGCGCGCUUGGAGCGAUGCAUGCCGCUCGCAGCGCGACGGUAGCGGCGGGUCACGAGAGACACGCGUCGAGUGCUGCGUCGCACGGGUUGUUUGCACCCGCUGCGUCCACUGUGGCGCCCUACGCUAGCGGUACAUCUAUCGCGCCGUCAUCGGACGCACAGGCCACGGCUGCGGCAGAAAACGGUGCGCAGCGCGUCAUUCUCUCCUCGACCGCCGCCUCCAGCCUUGCACUCAGCGCGGCCGCGGCAUCCACCAACUUGGACCUUGUCCUGCGUGUAGAUCGCGAUGACGCCUUGGCGGGCGCGCUGGCCCGUCUCACCGAGCACCGCGCCGUGAACAUUGCGCCGCCGCUGGUAACCGUGCUGUCCAUUGUGCCCCUUGCAGCGCAGCCCGUGCGUGGCGCAGGUGCGGGCGUGGUCGAGGACAGCGAUGCCCCAACGAUCAGCCCUGCUGACACCGGUGCAGCAUCGCCAUUGUACCCUGGUUUCAUCCCAACUCCGCUGGAGGUGCAGCAACGCCUGGCUCAGCCGUUCAACCUCUCCAUCGCGCAGGUGCAGCAACUGCUCCAGUGGCAGUGGGAGCAUCAUCAGCAUUGCUACACGCUGAUGCCGGUGCCUCUCUUCACUGGCGCGGCAGCCGGUCCCACGGAGGUGGACUUCUCGCUCAGGUUCUGGUCGUCCCCGCAGGGCGUGGACUCGGUGAGCCGUGGCGGACCGGAUGAGUGGGCAUCGGCUGCGUCGCCAUCCUACGCCGUCUCGCCGCUGGCGCGCGAGCUACUGCUGCACCUUCUGCGGUGGUCGUGGCUGCUGCCGAUCGACUACGAGGCGAGCCGGCGCAGCCGACGUCAUCGGCUGGCUGCCACGACCACCAGCAGCCUUGCUUCCCUUUUUCGCUGCCUCAUUUCGCCGUCGCCGCUCCGUUGCCCGCGAUGGCGCAUGCUGGCGCUCAUCGUGCUCCUCGUCACCGCGGCGGGGCGCUCGGCCCGGUGCCUGCAGGCGCUUCUCUUUGGUGGCGUCGCCUACUGCGCUUUGAGCGGCGUGGCAGUUGGCUUGCUGGCGCGGCUGCCUUCGCACCGGGGUGCGAGUAGCCGCCACAGUCGCGGCGGAUGUCCUCCAUGGCAGUGGUGGUGGGGCAGGCGGAGCACCGGCGCGGCGGAUGUGCACUCCCAAGGGCACCGCCGCUCUGCCUCUCGCCUCGUGCGUCGCCCUUUGUCCGCGCUGCAAAACGACGUCCCACCCAUCGACGACCGUGUGAGUCUUCUCUACUCCCUCGGCGAGUCCACGACGCAUGACAUGCUCGAGCGGCGACGGGUGCAUUUUGCAGCGCAGGCGGUGCUCGUGCGCGUGCUGUGCCUGCAGAGCGCGGCUGCUUCGCUCCUGAGUCGGCUACAGCUCUUCUUCUACGGCUACUCGACGGCGCUGUCGUUCUGGGUGGCACUGCUGCUCUUCGCGUACGCCCUCUUGUGCGCAGUGUACCUGGAAGCAGUGCUCGCGGUACAGCAAAGCCUAGGCGGUGCGGCGUGGUCAGCAGAGUGUGACGGUUGUGCGAGCGCCGGGGCAGUGUCGGCGUUUUGGCAAGUCGCACGGAGGAUUCCGCACGUGAUGUGGUGGGGCACCAACGCCGCAUCAAAAACAUCAUUCCACCCCUCUCAAUCGGCGGCAUCUGCGCUCACAGGGGCUGCCUGGCGCGAGGUGCUCGCGAGUGCUCGGUAUAUUCUCUUUCAAAGACAGCGGACUGUCGUAGAUGGCGGCGGUGAGGCCGCUGCUGCGGGAGUUGCGAGCGCACUGGAGGUACAACCCUUCGGUGACAGUGAUCCGGCAGUAGAGGCAACGGCGAGAAGCGGCGGUAGUGCGGGGGCAGGGGCGGCGCACGGCCACCAUCGCAGCCCCUCCUAUUUUUACCAGAACGGCAAGUACUUUGCGUACGACGCGGAGCCGCCAGCAUGGGCAAAGUCGGAAGCCGCCGCCGCCAUCCCGUCCAACAUCGGUGCGACACCAGGAGCCCACUACGAGCGUGUGUCUGCACAACCACAGCGACAGGAGCCGUCGCCGUCGGCGCGCGUCGUGCAGUCGCUGAGCGAGUGGUUCAGCCACAUUGUCCAAGGUGGCGGCAGCGAUGGUAAUGAUGGUGGUGGCAAGCAUCGGCCGUCCGUGCUUAGCAACCACUCCGCCGACCCGAUGGGUUCGAAUUCAACAUACAUCACAGCCAACAGCAGCGCCGCGUAUGUGUGCUCCAACAAGUCGGCAGGCUCCUCAGUAGGGGAUCCCAGCGUGCUCUGGUUCCUCGUUGUUGCCUACGUCGUCACGGUCUGUCUGCCGUGGUCGCCGUACCGGUGGCUGUGGCGGCGGGUGUGGAGUGUGCUGACGCAUGACGACGCCCUGGUCAGGCGACCUCUCCUCACUGUGUGAAGGGUCGGUGUUGUCGCCGCACAUGUGAUCUUCGUCUUGUAUGGGUGUCUAUCGAUCUGUGCGCGUUGUUCAUCUCGCUCUGCACUCACAGGCGACAGCGCUGGUGCGGUAAAAGUGGGGUCUCUUCCCUUACGCACGAUGGCCGCUUGGUACUCGCACGGCUCUUGGUGCUCAUCUAACAUGACCCCAGAGAUGGGCGGUAGACAGGAAAGCGAGGAGGCAGUGAGCCGCUGCUGCCCCUGUGCCCUUUCUUUCAGGAUCGCCUUGUAGGAUCAAGUAGGCCAUGCAGACUUGCGUGUGUGUGUGUGUGUAUACGUGUGCGCAGGCGCGCACAACCCACCCUCAGUGGGUAAGAGGGCCGACGAGGAUAAGCACCCGGCAUAUCACGACGCUGGUUGGCAGAUGCAUGUGCCUGCACUCUCGCUCGUUGCACGUUGUGCGGGUGACCUUGGCCGCGUGCGUGUUUAUGAGCUUACCGUUGCCAUCAUAGGAGUCUUCGCUGCGCGCUUAAGUGCGUGCAUGGGGUGGCCUUUGGGCUGCGCUGCUGAGCGCUGUUGCGCACGUCCACAAUCUCUCCCUCCCCGCCCGUGCGCGUGCUCUCGCCAUCCCCGACACAUCGAAUGGCCGCCUGUGAAUUUUCUCUCCCUUUCCAGCUUCCCUCCUCCUCUUCUCUCCCUCCUCAUGCGCAUAUAUCGACAACAG